rnacentral:rRNA from 1 species
UACGUAGGGGGCAAGCGUUGUCCGGAUUUAUUGGGCGUAAAGAGCGUGUAGGCUGCUUUACAGGUCCGUUGUGAAAACUCGAGGCUCAACCUCGAGACGCCGGUGGAAACCGUAAGGCUAGAGUCCGGAAGAGGAGAGUGGAAUUCCUGGUGUAGCGGUGAAAUGCGCAGAUAUCAGGAAGAACACCCGUGGCGAAGGCGGCUCUCUGGGACGGUACUGACGCUGAGACGCGAAAGCGUGGGGAGCGAACAGG